CUACGGGGGGCUGCAGGUGGGAAACCUUUACAAUACACGAAAGUGUGAUAAGGGAACCCAGAGUGCUCGCCAAUGGUGAGCUUUUGUUAAGCGCAAAUAACUUGACGAAUAAGUGGUGGGUAAGACCGGUGCCAGCAGCCGCGGUAACCCCGGCGCCACGAGUGGUAAUCACUUUUAUUGGGACUAAAGCGUCCGUAGUCGAUAAAGCAAAUCUUUUGUCAAAUCCUUGUGCUUAACGCAGGGGCAGCAAGAGACACUACUUUAUUAGGGAUCGGGAGGAGACAGGGGUAUUCCUUGGGUAGCGGUAAAAUGCGAUAAUCCUUGGAAGACCACCAAUGGCGAAGGCAUCUGUCUAGAACGAAUCCGACGAUCAGGGACGAAAGCUAGGGGAGCAAAAGGGAUUAGAUACCCCCGUAGUC
rnacentral:rRNA from 1 species